UAAUACAUGCAAGUCGUGCGGUGACACUUCGGGUGACGAGCGGCGGACGGGUGAGUAAUGCAUAGGAACGUGCCCCAAAGUGAGGGAUAACUGCUCGAAAGAGUAGCUAAUACCGCAUAUUAUCUUCGGAUCAAAGCUUCGGCGCUUUGGGAGCGGCCUAUGUCUGAUUAGCUAGUUGGUAGGGUAAAAGCCUACCAAGGCGACGAUCAGUAGCUGGUUUGAGAGGAUGAUCAGCCACACUGGGACUGAGACACGGCCCAGACUCCUACGGGAGGCAGCAGUAGGGAAUUUUCCACAAUGGGGGCAACCCUGAUGGAGCAACGCCGCGUGCAGGAUGAAGGCCUUCGGGUCGUAAACUGCUUUUAUCUGUGACGAUUUUGACGGUAGCAGAUGAAUAAGGAUCGGCUAACUACGUGCCAGCAGCCGCGGUCAUACGUAGGAUCCAAGCGUUAUCCGGAAUUACUGGGCGUAAAGAGUUGCGUAGGUGGCAGAGUAAGCGAAUCAUGAAAUCUUAUGGCUCAACCAUAUGGCUAUGAUUUGAACUGCUCAGCUUGAGCACGAGAGAGGUAACUGGAAUUCCUAGUGUAGGAGUGAAAUCCGUAGAUAUUAGGAGGAACACCGAUGGCGUAGGCAGGUUACUGGCCCGUUGCUGACACUAAGGCACGAAAGCGUGGGGAGCAAAUGGGAUUAGAUACCCCAGUAGUCCACGCUGUAAACGAUGGAUGCUAGCUGUUAUGAGUAUCGACCCUCGUAGUAGCGAAGCUAACGCGUUAAGCAUCCCGCCUGGGGAGUACGGUCGCAAGAUUAAAACUCAAAGGAAUUGACGGGGACCCGCACAAGCGGUGGAGCGUGUUGUUUAAUUCGAUGGUAAGCGAAGAACCUUACCAAGGUUUGACAUCUCUGGAAUCUCUUCGAAAGAAGAAAGUGCCUUCGGGAACCAGAUGACAGUGAUGCAUGGCCGUCGUCAGCUCGUGUCGUGAGAUGUUUGGUUAAGUCCAUCAACGAGCGCACCCUUAUAGUUAGUUGGAUUUCUCUAGCUAGACUGCCUCGCCACCGGGAGGAAAAGAAAGGGGAUGAUGUCAGUCAGUAUUUCCCUUACACCUUGGGCUACAAACACGCUACAAUGGCCGGUACAAAAGGGCAGCCUAAGUCGCCGGAGAACGGAGCAAAUUCAUUCUA
rnacentral:rRNA from 1 species